UUACUUUUAAAAUGUCAGAUAUAAAAGUUGUAAAUUCUAUUGUAUCUAAUGAAUCUCUCAUAAAUGACUUCGCCGCAUUAGCAGAUUAAUUCCACCUAGAAUCCUGAAAACUAGGAGAAUUACAGGCAGGAUGAGUGACGAUUAUCAGAUUGCACAAUUUGCUUGGAUUAUGUGGCUGAUUUGGAAGGAAAGGAAUGGCUUAUUUUUUAGCAGAAGCAACCAAAUCCCGUAAAGGUUAUAAACUGUUCCAGAAUUUUGGCAGGUAAAGAGUUAAGAUUAAUUCCACCUAGAAUCCUGAAAACUAGGAGAAUUACAGGCAGGAUGAGUGACGAUUAUCAGAUUGCACAAUUUGCUUGGAUUAUGUGGCUGAUUUGGAAGGAAAGGAAUGGCUUAUUUUUUAGCAGAAGCAACCAAAUCCCGUAAAGGUUAUAAACUGUUCCAGAAUUUUGGCAGGUAAAGAGUUAAGAUUAAUUCCACCUAGAAUCCUGAAAACUAGGAGAAUUACAGGCAGGAUGAGUGACGAUUAUCAGAUUGCACAAUUUGCUUGGAUUAUGUGGCUGAUUUGGAAGGAAAGGAAUGGCUUAUUUUUUAGCAGAAGCAACCAAAUCCCGUAAAGGUUAUAAACUGUUCCAGAAUUUUGGCAGGUAAAGAGUUAAGAUUAAUUCCACCUAGAAUCCUGAAAACUAGGAGAAUUACAGGCAGGAUGAGUGACGAUUAUCAGAUUGCACAAUUUGCUUGGAUUAUGUGGCUGAUUUGGAAGGAAAGGAAUGGCUUAUUUUUUAGC